UGGGGAAUAUUGCACAAUGGGCGCAAGCCUGAUGCAGCCAUGCCGCGUGUGUGAAGAAGGCCUUCGGGUUGUAAAGCACUUUCAGCGGGGUGGAAGGCGUUAAGGUUAAUAACCUUGGCGAUUGACGUUACCCGCAGAAGAAGCACCGGCUAACUCCGUGCCAGCAGCCGCGGUAAUACGGAGGGUGCAAGCGUUAAUCGGAAUUACUGGGCGUAAAGCGCACGCAGGCGGUCUGUCAAGUCGGAUGUGAAAUCCCCGGGCUCAACCUGGGAACUGCAUUCGAAACUGGCAGGCUAGAGUCUUGUAGAGGGGGGUAGAAUUCCAGGUGUAGCGGUGAAAUGCGUAGAGAUCUGGAGGAAUACCGGUGGCGAAGGCGGCCCCCUGGACAAAGACUGACGCUCAGGUGCGAAAGCGUGGGGAGCAAACAGG
rnacentral:rRNA from 1 species